AGAAUCUUCAUCAGUAAAAUACAUCAGGACCUGGUACAUGUGUGCUUACUAGUCCUGCCUACCUGCCACUGUCAGGGCUUCAUCAGGCCCACCAGUCAGAGCUUUGCCCUGCUAGGUCCCCGCCAGUGUGCCACUUGCCAACAUGCCGUCACCCUCCACCGUCCCCAGACUGAUGUAGACAAGCUCAUCGUACAGAGGGUGGCACAGGCAGGACACCUCAGGUGUCAGACAAAGGUGAGUCGAGAUGAGGCCAGGAAGCUGCAGGUGUUGGCUGAGGAGGACGGAUGCGGGAACUUCCAGGCGUUCGAGCCUGUCACCAUCAGGCACCUGGAGGAGGAGGAUGUGGACCUCGCUGUGGAGAAGCAGAGGUGUCCGUGCCGGGGGUUCAGUACAGCUGACCUGCCUAAGUUACUGAAGCAGUAUCACGGCUUGAGUGCAGAGAUAGUGGGCCAGGUGCUGCAUGGUCGAGCCAGGUGCCCCAGCUGCCAGCACAGUCUCCAGGACCACAGGACACAGACGGGGGAGGAAGCAG